rnacentral:lncRNA from 1 species
GAGGGAGAAUUAAUUGUUCUAAUCUGAAAGGUAAAUCAAGCAUUUAAGUUUAGGCAAAUUUGUAAUUCCAAAAUCACCUGUAGAAUCAUAUUGUUAGUCAAAGUCUCUUUGCUGUUAAAGCAUGCAAAUGAAUCCAUCCACUUUGAUAGGCCAAUUCGUAUCUUCCGUUUGGUUAAAAAACCUGUGGUAUGGAUCAUUUCUGCCACAGAAACGAUCAACGAUACUAGGCUCAUGCUUUGUCAGUCUCUGCAGAAAAAUACUGACAGGUCUUGCUUUCUUAUGUUUCUUUCCAAGCUUUUUCGCGCUGCUUCUUCAACCUUUGUCCUCUUGCACUUCUAUUUUCUUCCGACUUCAGAGAAAAUUUCUUCCUCUACACUUCUACAUUUAAGUUUAAGCAAAUUUGUAUUUCCAAAAUCACUUGUAGAAUCAUAUUGUUAGUCAAAGUCUCUUUGUUGUUAAAGCAUGCAAAUAAAUCCAUAUACUUUGAUCGGCCACAAUUUGCAUCUUCCGUUUGGCUAAAAAACUUGUGUUAUGGAUCAGUUAAGCCACAAAAAGGAUCAACAAUACUAGGCUCAUGCUUUGUCAGUCUCUGCAGAAAAAUACUGACAGGUCUUGCUUUCUUAUGUUUCUUUCCAAGCUUUUUUCCGCUGCUUCUUCAACCUUUGUCCUCUUGCACUUCUAUUUUCUUCCGACUUCAGAGAAAAUUUCUUCCUC